rnacentral:rRNA from 1 species
GACGAACGCUGGCGGCGUGCUUAACACAUGCAAGUCGAGCGGUAAGGCCCUUUCGGGGGUACGACGAGCGGCGAACGGGUGAGUAACACGUGGGUGACCUGCCCUCAGCUCUGGGAUAAGCCUGGGAAACCGGGUCUAAUACCGGAUAUGACUCCAUGACGCAUGUUGUGGGGUGGAAAGCCUUGUGCGGCUGAGGAUGGGCCCGCGGCCUAUCAGCUUGUUGGUGGGGUGAUGGCCUACCAAGGCGACGACGGGUAGCCGGCCUGAGAGGGCGACCGGCCACACUGGGACUGAGACACGGCCCAGAC